ensembl:lncRNA
CUGAUACUGAAUACACCAUUCUAAUAAUGACUAUCCCGCCAUUCUAAUAAUGAACAUACCAUUCUAAUCAAUAAUACACAAUUCUGAUAAUGAAUACACCAUUCUAAUAAUGACUAUCCCAUUGCAGUAAUUAAUACCCAGGUAUGAAUUAUAAUUAAGAUGUAAUUGCUACCUAUCAGCAGUGUGAUCCGUGCCGAUAAGGAAGGAGGAGAAGCAGCAGGGAAAUGUUCUCCCCGGGAGCAGCUGGGAUAAAGGUUGGGUUGGUUUCCAGUGAUUCUCUGGUUAAUGUUCAGUUAAUAUUAAUAAUAUUAUUAACGUGAAUAAAAUCAACAAAUCAAAUCAAUCAUUUCCAAUUAAUUGUAUAAGAUUGGGACAGUUAAUAACAUUAAAAAUGCUCAUAAAAAUGAGAUUGUUUAGGAAUUGUUCCACUCUUGCCCUGGUUGGAGUUUCACCCCUGGGUCAGCGAGAAAGAAAAUAAAGCAAAGUUUUCUUGUUGCAAUCAAAUUUCUCUGUGUGUUCUCGUCCUCUAAAAACCAAAAAUCCUUCCAGGAUUUCAGGCUUUGCACCUUUGCAGGGGGAUUUUGGGGCUGGGUUGGAAUUCUUUGGGCAAUUUUCUGGAGAAUUCCAGGGCAAGGUUUCAAAUGCUGAAACGUUUCCUGAGAGGAUCAGGAAUAAUAAUAAUCAUCAUAAUUAAUAAUUAAUUAAUAAUAAUAGUCCCUGAUCCCUCAGGGACAGCAGGAGGGAAUCUGAGGGAUCCAGGGGAAUGUUCUGCAGAAUCUCAGAGACCUCCCAGGGGAAAAAAAACCAUUUCAAAAUGGAUUUAUACUUUUAAUUUUAGCUUUUAUUUUAUUGUUAUAUUGACAUUUCUAGUUCUAGUUAAUUAUGGAAUUAAAUUCAGCCAUGGGGGGGGGUCUGAGGAGGGAAUUGAGAUGAAUGAGGGCACAGGGGGCACUCGGGGGCACUCUGGGGUCACGCUGGGGUCACUUGAGGUCAUUUCAAGGUCACGGGGGUUACUCGGGGUCAUUUUUGGAUUUUUGAGUUUUUCAAGUCCCUGGCCGGGGUAACUGUAGGUCACUUCAAGGUCACUUGGGGUCACUUCAAGGUCACUCGGGGUCAUUUCAAGGUCAUUUGGGUCACAGGGGUCACUUGAGGUCAUUUUUGAUUUUUCUGAGUCCCUGACCAGGUCACUAGAGGUCAUUUCAAGGUCAUUUGAGGUCGCCAGGGAUUGGGGUUCUGGGGUGAGGGGUCAGGGAUUGGGGUCCUGGGCUCUCCCAAGCAGAGGGUGAGGGUCCCUCUGGAGAGAGGGACUGGGGUCCCAAGAUUUCCCCUAAAGCACCGAGCAGGGUGUGCGGGGUCAGGGAUUGGGGUCCCGUGUUUCUCCUAAAGCACCCAGAAGAGGGUCAGAGUCCCUCUGGAGAGAGGGGUCAGAGAUUGGGGUCCUGGAUUUCCCCUGAAUCACCAAACAGGGUGAGGGGUCAGAGAUUGGGGUCCUGGAUUUCCCCUGAAUCACCAAACAGGGUGAGGGGUCAGAGAUUGGGGUCCUGGAUUUCCCCUGAAUCACCAAACAGAGGGUGAGGGGUCAGAGAUUGGGGUCCUGGGUUUCCCCCGAGCAGAGGAUAAAAGAUCAGGGACUGGGGUCCUGGAUUUCCCCUAAAACAUCGAUCAGAGAGUGAGGGAUCAGGGAUUUGGGUCCCGGAUUUCCCCUGAACCACCAAACAGGGUGAGGGAUCAGGGACUGGGGUCCUGGGGUGAGGGGUCAGGGAUUGGGUUCUGCCCCCCCCC